AAAAUCCAACCCAAAAUCCGCCCCAAAAAUCGGCUCCAAAAUCCCCAAAAUCCGCCCCAAAAAUCGGCUCCAAAAUCCCCAAAAUCUGCCCCAAAGUCCCAAAAAUCUGCCCCAAAAUCCACCCCAAAAUCCAACCCAAAAAUCCGCUCCAAAAUCNNNNNNNNNNACCCCAAAAUCCAACCCAAAAUCCACUCCAAAAUCCAACCCAAAAUCACGAAAUCCACCCCAAAAUCCACCCCAAAAUACCAAAAUCCACCCGAAAAUCCGCCCCAAAAUCGAACCCAAAAUCCUGAAAUUCCAACCCAAAAUUCACUCCAAAAAUCCAACCCGAAAUCCCCCAAAAUCCACCUCAAAAUCCAUCCUGGGAUCCUCCAGGUGCCCCCAGGUGUAUUUUGGGCACCCCCAGGUGCAUUUUGGGCACCCCCAGGUGUAUUUUGGGUGCCCCCAGAUGUGUUUUGGGUGCCCCCAGGUGUAUUUUGGGUGCCCCCAGGUGUAUUUUGGGCACCCCCAGGUGUAUUUUGGGCACCCCCAGGUGUAUUUUGGGUGCCCCCAGGUGUAUUUUGGGUACCUCAGGUGUAUUUUGGGUGCCCCCAGGUGUAUUUUGGGUGCCCCCAGGUGUAUUUUGGGCACCCCCAGGUGUGUUUUGGGUGCCCCCAGGUGCAUUUUGGGUGCCCCCAGGUGCAUUUUGGGUGCCCCCAGGUGUAUUUUGGGUACCCCCAGGUGUAUUUUGGGUGCCCCCAGGUGUAUUUUGGGUACCUCAGGUGUAUUUUGGGUGCCCCCAGGUGUAUUUUGGGUGCCCCCAGGUGUAUUUUGGGCACCCCCAGGUACAUUUUGGGUGCCCCCAGGUGUAUUUUGGGUACCCCCAGGUGUAUUUUGGGUGCCCCCAGGUGUAUUUUGGGUUCCCCCCAGGUGUAUUUUGGGCACCCCCAGGUGUAUUUUGGGUGCCCCCAGGUGUAUUUUGGGCACCCCCAGGUGUAUUUUGGGCACCCCCAGGUGCAUUUUGGGCACCCCCAGGUGCAUUUUGGGUGCCCCCAGGUGUAUUUUGGGUGCCCCCAGGUGUGUUUUGGGUGCCCCCAGGUGCAUUUUGGGUGCCCCCAGGUGUAUUUUGGGUACCCCCAGGUGUAUUUUGGGUACCCCCAGGUGUAUCCCAGGUGUGCCCAGGUGUGCCCAGGUGUGCCCAGGUGUGCCCAGGUGUGCCCAGGUGUAUUUUUGGGUGUCCCCAGGUGUAUUUUGGGUACCCUGGGCUCUAUCCCAGGUGUAUUUUGGGUGCCCUGAGGUGUAUUUUUGGUACCCUGAGAUGCCCCCAGGUGUGCCCAGGUGUGCCCAGGUGUGCCCAGGUGUGCCCAGGUGUGCCCAGGUGUAUUUUUUCUCCCCCCAGGUGCAUUUCACCCCCGAGUGCCGCUUCAAGGUGUGCCCUGGGUGUCCCUGGGCUCUGUCCCAGGUGUAUUUUGGGUACCCCCAGGUGUAUUUUGGGUACCCCCAGGUGUAUUUUGGGCACCCCCAGGUGUAUUUUGGGUGCCCCAGGUGUGUUUUGGGUGUGCCCAGGUGUAUUUUGGGUGUAUUUUUGGUACCCCCAGGUGUAUUUUGGGUGCCCUGAGGUGUAUUUUGGGUACCCCCAGGUGCCCCCAGGUGUAUCCCAGGUACCCCCAGGUGUAUCCCAGGUGUGCCCAGGUGUGCUCAGGUGUGCCCAGGUGUGCCCAGGUGU
rnacentral:lncRNA from 1 species